ACUUGAUCCUGUUCGCCUGCGCAUCUAAAACACCACAUAAGAUAUUUAAGCAAAUACAAUAAACAAUGUAUCUUCCAAUGCCUACCUUAGGAAAACAUCCUCCAGGGAGGUGUCCGUCAUGGAAAUUGCAUACGGCAGGCAGAUAUACACAGUAGGAUUCACCACAUUCUGUUCAACGUUUAAAGGAUAUUAUGCACACGCCUUACAUAUAGUUAAUUGAUGACUUACCAAGACUCUGGCUGAUGGCACGAAGUUAUGGAUUAUUUCCAUGAUUUCGCCUUCUCUUGCUGCAAAAUCGUUGAUCUCUAAUUUGAGGCGAUAACCAAUUCCCGAUUUGCGUUUUAAUUCCAAAGGACUUCCGAUGCUCUGCAGUUUGCCAUUGGCCAAUAUGCAGAUGGUAUCCCCAAGGACCUCGGCCUCCUCCAUGUAGUGCGUGGUGACCAGAAUGGCCUUCUCCUUGCGUAGAUUAAGUAGAAUGUCCCACAGCUCACGACGCGAGUUAAUGUCCAAUCCCGAUGAUGGUUCGUCAAGGAUUACGAUUCUGCGAGAUUAAACAAAGAUUUUUAAACCGAA